rnacentral:misc_RNA from 1 species
GUGAAUCAUCGAAUUUUUGAACGCAUAUUGCGCCCUCUGGUAUUCCGCAGAGUAUGCCUAUUUGAGGGUCAUUUGAAAUAACAUAAAUUUCGAGAUUUUCUUGAGCUCAGAAAGGGGUGGGUCCAGCUUUCGCAUGGUGGUCGCCUAAAAUGCAGGACAAGCUCGUUUAUUGGGUUGCGUGAUACUUUCAGUUACGUCGUUACUUCACAAGAAAUCUUGGUGCUGGUUAGGGAUUGUGCAAGAAAU